CUGAGCUGAACUGAGAAGGGCCGGACUCUCCCGGUUUCGAUGGCAACGCCAGAGUCUCGCGCAUCUCUGGCUCCUCCUAAGGUUCUUUCAUUGACACAUGAGAGAAAUUAAAAGAUCUGCUUUCUCAAUCUCCCACAUGUAGAGAUGCUAAAAAAGAUGAUACAUCAGUAUCAGAGGAUUCCGACUCAGGCAAGAGGGACUCAGCUGACUGGGCCAGCGUAGAAGGAAUGAGCACACUUCUGUGUCUUCUCCUAAGACUAGCCUGUCCAUCAGACAGAUGUCUUCAACCCUGAGCCUGCACACACAUGCACCCACCCCUGCCUCCUCAGAAGGUCUAGGGGGCAAGUGUUGGGAAGUCCGGUUGUAAGCCCUGACCUGUGGGGCUUUUCCUCUGUGCCUUACCCCUAUUAAAGUU
ensembl:lncRNA